rnacentral:miRNA from 1 species
CGUGGUGUGCCCUGUGAAG